rnacentral:rRNA from 1 species
GCGGCAUCGAGUGUAACUCCCAACCAUUGUGAACCUACCACUGUUGCUUCGGCGGCCUCGCCCCGGGCGCGUUCGCGCGGCCCGGACCCAGGCGUCCGCCGGAGGCUCCAAACUCUUGUCUUUUAUUGUAUUUCUGAGUGGCAUAAGCAAAUAAAUCAAAACUUUCAGCAACGGAUCUCUUGGUUCUGGCAUCGAUGAAGAACGCAGCAAAAUGCGAUAAGUAAUGUGAAUUGCAGAAUUCAGUGAAUCAUCGAAUCUUUGAACGCACAUUGCGCCCGCCAGUAUUCUGGCGGGCAUGCCUGUCUGAGCGUCAUUUCAACCCUCACGACCCGUUCGCGGGACCUGGCGUUGGGGAUCAGCCUGCCCCUGGCGGCGGCUGGCCCUGAAAUCCAGUGGCGGUUCCCUCGCGAACUCCUCCGUGCAGUAAUUAAACCUCUCGCGGCAGGAUAGCGGUUGAACCACGCCGUUAAACCCCCCACUUCUCAAGGUUGACCUCAGAUCAGGUAGGAAUACCCGCUGAACUUAAGCAUAUCAAAGCCGGAAGAAGCUG